rnacentral:rRNA from 1 species
GAUGAACGCUGGCGGCGUGCCUAAUACAUGCAAGUCGUACGGGAAGGCCCUUCGGGGUACUCGAGUGGCGGACGGCUGAGUAACGCGUGGGAACGUGCCCCAAGGGGAGGGAUAACGCACCGAAAGGUGUGCUAAUACCGCAUAUGGUCUUCGGAUUAAAGCUUCGGCGCUUUGGGAGCGGCCCGCGUACGAUUAGAUAGUUGGUGAGGUAAUGGCUCACCAAGUCGACGAUCGUUAGCUGGUCUGAGAGGAUGAUCAGCCAGACUGGGACUGAGACACGGCCCAGACUCCUACGGGAGGCAGCAGUAAGGAAUCUUCCACAAUGGGGGCAACCCUGAUGGAGCAACGCCGCGUGCAGGAUGAAGGUUUUCGGAUCGUAAACUGCUUUUAUAAGUGAAGAAUAUGACGGUAACUUAUGAAUAAGGAUCGGCUAACUACGUGCCAGCCGCCGCCGUAA